UCCGGCUCUACGCCGGCAGUCUCUACAGCGGUCCCCGAAGGGAGGGACUCAUCUCUGAGCCUUUCCUCUGCAGUUCAAACCCAGGUAAGGUUCUGCGCGUUGCUUCGAAUUAAACCACAUGCUCCACCGCUUGUGCGGGCCCCCGUCAAUUCCUUUGAGUUUCAGUCUUGCGACCGUACUCCCCAGGCGGAGUGCUUAAUGUGUUGACUUCGGCACAGCAGGGGUCGAUACCCGCUACACCAAGCACUCAUCGUUUACGGCGUGGACUAC
rnacentral:misc_RNA from 1 species